UAAACGACUCUCGGCAACGGAUAUCUUGGCUCUCGCAUCGAUGAAGAACGUAGCGAAAUGCGAUACUUGGUGUGAAUUGCAGAAUCCCGUGAACCAUCGAGUCUUUGAACGCAAGUUGCGCCCGAAGCCGUCAGGCCGAGGGCACGUCUGCCUGGGCGUCACAC
rnacentral:rRNA from 1 species